UACGUAGGGUGCGAGCGUUAAUCGGAAUUACUGGGCGUAAAGCGUGCGCAGGCGGUUCUCCAAGUCCGUUGUGAAAGCCCCGGGCUCAACCUGGGAAUGGCAGUGGAAACUAGGGGACUUGAAUCUGGCAGAGGGGGGUGGAAUUCCACGUGUAGCAGUGAAAUGCGUAGAGAUCAGGAGGAACACCCAUGGCGAAGGCAGCUCUCUGGUCGACCUCUGACGCUGAGACGCGAAAGCGUGGGGAGCGAACGGG
rnacentral:rRNA from 1 species